rnacentral:tRNA from 1 species
GUUUUAAUAAUUUAAUAAAAAUAUUGGUCUUGUAAACCAGAAUUAAGGUCCACCCCUUUUAAAACU